rnacentral:lncRNA from 1 species
AAAAAGAGAUAUCAUUAAGAAAAAAGCAUGACGAACCACAAGGUACCAGAGAUACCAAGUGUACAACACUGAAAAAGGAAAGACAACAGAUUGGGCGAGAGAGAAAAACCCCAACCACAAGAGCAACACAAAAGAACCCAGAAAAUAGACGAUUUGCCCAAACUCCAAUCACUGCUAACACAGAGAACAAAAGAACAGAGAAGUUCUUGCUCAAGGUCAUCAACUGCACCCCAAGCUAAAUUAGUCCAAACCUCUAGCAGCAACAAACCAACUUCUAAACUCUUGCUCCUGCGUUGUUUGAUUCGAAUCCGAUUGCCAAGCCCACAAUCUCGCCUUAAUUUCUGCCAUCAUUCUUUCUUUGUUCCAACCUUCUUGAUUGAAGAUACAGUUGUUUCGAGUCUUCCAAAUGCUCCAAAUCACACACAUCCAAACAGCAAGGAAGAAGUCCACAUCCUUAUCACUCCCCAAGUUCACGAAAGCGUUGAAGUGUGCUUUGGUUUUAAAC